rnacentral:lncRNA from 1 species
UACUCGGGUUUCCUGCCAUGCCCAGUUCCGUACUCGGAUCCAUGUUCCCCAUACUCGGGUCUCCGGCCAUACCCAGAUUCAAAUUCAGGCGGUGGAGGUUGCUCAAAUUCGGGCCUUCGUCCAUACCCGGAUCCAAAUUCCGGCGGAGGUGGCUGCUCGUAUUCGGGCCUCUGGCCAUACCCAGAUCCAAACUCCGGCGGAGGCUGCUUGAACUCUGGUCUUCGCCCAUAUCCAGAUUCAAAUUCGGAUCCGGGUCGUUCAAAAUCCGGCCUCCGUCCAUAACCCGAUUCGGAUUGCUGAUAGUCAGGCUUCCUUCCGUACCCAGAUCCAUAAUCAGGCUCAUGUUGAGCCCCAUAGCCACCAGGGCCACCACCAUAAGCGGGUCCAGGUCCUGGUCGGGGCUUGGCUCGGGCAUAGCUGCUGUACUCAAUUUGGAGAGCUUCGUCGGCGUAAGCACAGGGCUCGCAGCUGGAAGAGAAAUGGGGACAAGCGUAAUCAAAGUCUCCAUCAGACGGUGUCGAUGAAGGGUAGCAAGUCUCAUCGGACGGUUCCAACGGACGUCCGUAGGUUAAGGCGAGGUCGUAUCCGCCACCGUAUGGCGUCGGAUCGUACUCGUCGAAGUC